rnacentral:rRNA from 1 species
UUCCGUUUGGGUGGCCUGCGGAAGGAUCAUUACCUAGAGUUGUAGGCUUUGCCUGCUAUCUCUUACCCAUGUCUUUUGAGUACUUACGUUUCCUCGGCGGGUCCGCCCGCCGAUUGGACAAUUUAAACCAUUUGCAGUUGCAAUCAGCGUCUGAAAAACUUUAAUAGUUACAACUUUCAACAACGGAUCUCUUGGUUCUGGCAUCGAUGAAGAACGCAGCGAAAUGCGAUAAGUAGUGUGAAUUGCAGAAUUCAGUGAAUCAUCGAAUCUUUGAACGCACAUUGCGCCCCUUGGUAUUCCAUGGGGCAUGCCUGUUCGAGCGUCAUUUGUACCUUCAAGCUUUGCUUGGUGUUGGGUGUUUGUCUCGCCUCUGCGUGUAGACUCGCCUUAAAACAAUUGGCAGCCGGCGUAUUGAUUUCGGAGCGCAGUACAUCUCGCGCUUUGCACUCAUAACGACGACGUCCAAAAGUACAUUUUUACACUCUUGACCUCGGAUCAGGUAGGGAUACCCGCUGAACUUAAGCAUAUCAAAACCCGGAGGAA